UUAGGCCAGUUAACAUCUACGGCUCUCCCCUGUUUUGUUGAGGCUAGCUACGUUUGUUUUUGAGUGCUUAGACUGUACAAUAAAUGAAAGACGUGCUGGGGAACUCGGCCUGGACUCCUGUGACUCGCUCUGAAGGAAGAAAGAUAGGUAAAUAAACGUGGGUAUCACCCUAGAGCGGUUAGCUCUAGCCCAAGGAACUACAAGUUCCACUGGUUCCUGUCUACGGCCGGGAGAAACAACUGCCAGAGAAAAAAAAGGCUUCAGUGGCCUGCUGUGUGUUUCGCUAUGAACAUUUGUGAGCACCCUGCCAGGAAUCCAGAUAUAUACCAUUUGUGGCUCUGAUGCAGUGUAAAGACUGCAAGUUUUCCCACCCUGAUUCUGAGGUUUUACUUAAGCAUUACCAUCUUCGUCAUGGACAAGGGCGUCCAGGGAGAAAGUGGCCCUGCCUAAACAUCCAUGCCUUGAAGAACGUGGCACAGUUUCAGGUUGGGAUGGCUGGGUGAUGAGCAUUAAAUUUAAACUACUGUGCAAAAUUGCGGGAUGCUGGAUGCUUGGAAGUGAAUAUCAACUGGAAAAGAGGAAGAGGUGAGGGUGAAGGGCUGAAGGCACGCAUGAAGAAAUCUAAAAGAGCAGAGGUCAACUUUUUACCUGAUCACCCAGAAGGCCAGACAGAUGAAUCUCUUGAAAAUGAAAGAGUUGCCAUUGCUGAAGAAACUCGGAAAAAGAGGAUAGAUGCAACACUUAUUCCUCGGAAGAUGGAAGCAUCAUUCUCUCUUCGGCGCAAGGAGGUCGUAGAGGUUGAACCACUUGUUGAAGAGAUCAGGGAGAGGUGGUCUGCGCUUUUUUAUGAGGAGGAGAUCUGCAGGGAGUUCUUUCGAAUCACAAACAUUAACCUGCUGAGCACAUUUAUAGGAUCUCUAGACAAAUAUACAGCACCUUUGCUGAAGCUGUAUAGAAGGUGCAGGGAGGCGUUUGGGCAGGAAGUUAAGAUACUUUUGGAGAACCUGGAUGAACAGGAAACAGAUGCUGAAGACCACUACACCAAAGAUGUACAGAUUGGAAUUCUUUCUGUAAUGAAAGAUAACGUAGCUGCUGCAACAUCUCUGCCAAAAGUCACAAACAUUGCAAUUAUCCUGAAGGAGGCUGUUGUUCUUCGGGACAUUGUUGAUCUGCCAACAGCAUUUGCGUACUUGUUUGGACUUCUGUAUGCCAUUAAUAUGGAAUAUCCCCAAGAGCUAAAGUACACCUUUGAGGCGAUACAGAAGAUUUUCAGGGAUCUUGGUGGAUCUUGCUCUGCAAGAGUACAGUCUCUCAAGAUUAAACUUUGCUAAGUGGACAGGUCUUUGCAUGCUUAAUCCUCCACUCUACCCAGGGUCAUUGACUCCUUUUCCUGAACACUACAAAUGGUUCUGCAUUACACCUGGUUGCAUUACACAGCUAUCAAGUUUUUUCAGUAGUUAACAUAGAAAAUUUGAGUAGUUUGAUCAGUGGAGUCGAUAGCUUUUUUGCUCAUUUUUGUUUUUUACUAAAAAAGCGUAGUGCAAGUCGAGUUUUGCUGUAAAAAGCAGUUUGAAUUUCUAAACAGUUCAGUUUGCGUGUUUGCAAAGUGUUGUGAAAUGUAUUGGCUGUGUCACAUCAACAAAGAACUGUGUUCCUGUGGUUAAAUCCAUCCAGCUUACUGAAGAAAUGUCUGCUAAGUGCCCUUCAAUGUGCUAUAAACCUAUAGAUCUGCUUAGUGCUUCCUGAAUUUAGAAUACAUUUUUUUGGUUGCAUUACACAGCUCUCUUUUUCAGUAAUUAACAUACAUUUGUGUGAGUAAUCGAACAGUGCAAGUUAU